rnacentral:rRNA from 1 species
AGAGUUUGAUCCUGGCUCAGAUUGAACGCUGGCGGCAUGCCUUACACAUGCAAGUGAAACGCAGGGUUGGUAGCAAUACAAGUACUCGUGGCGAACGGGUGAGUAACACGUCGGAACGUGUCCUGUAGUGGGGAUAAGCCCGGCGAAAUGGGCUUAAUACCGCAUACGAUCGCGGGAUGAAACCUUGCGAUCAGGCCACGCCAGAGAGGGAUCCGCCGGCCGAUUAGCUUGUUGGCGAAGUAAUGGCUCACCAAGGCUACGAUCGGUAGCUGGUCUGAGAGGUUGACCAGCCACACUGAGACUGAGACACGGUCCAGACUCCUACGGGAGGCAGCUAGUGGGGAAUCUUGCACAAUGGGCGAAAGCCUGAUGCAGCAACGCCGCGUGCGGGAUGAAGGCUUUCGGGUUGUAAACUGCUUUUGUCCGGGACGAAUACCUCCAAGAGGGGAUGACGGUACCGGAUGAAGAAGCACCGGCUAAC